UAAGAGAAUGGCAAAAUUUCCAAACACGAGUGAGUUUCGUAUCAUAAGUAAUACCGAAGAGGAAUUUCAAGUAGACAUUUAUACGAUUAGAAAAAAUGAAUAUUAAUAGGGAAGAAAACGAGAGAAGUGAUAGUGAUGACAUCAAGCAAAAAAAACGGAGAGAUCUCAUAUAUACUGCGAGGGAUGAUAAUAUGGAAAGAGAAUUCAUUCAACAUUUAUCAUAGACAUCGUAAAAAAUUAUAAAGGACAAAAUUAUGAUUUUGAAUAGGCGCACAUAGAAUCUAACACUGUUAUAAUUUUCCUGCAGCUUAGUAAAGAUCUAUUAUACUUCUUUCUAGCCAUCGUAAUUCGGUCAAUAGAUUUCAAUUCGGUCAAUGUCAACAUUCUCUUCGCACAAAAUAAAUAAAUAUGAAUAAUUAAAUGUCAAAAAAAUUUUCCUACUCGGGAAGUAGAUAAACGCAAUUCGAUUUUUACAUAGUGAAUCACAUGUGGAAUCAAAUGGGGAAAAAAGAAUCAAAAAGAAAAAAAAGAAAUAAAAGCAAAAAGGAAAGUUCCCGUAAACGGUAGUAUCGAUCCAAAAUUAUUGCUAACAUUAUGAAGAGAUAAUCGGGGAUAUUAGCUUCGUGAAUAUAUAGAAAAGAGAAGGUUAAACGAAACAGCGCAUGCUCGAGUCGAUAUAAGAGAUGUUGCUAGCCAUCCGCGGAAGUUGAAUAAACCGUUUAUUCCGUUUCGAAUCGUGCUACCAGCAAGUUCCUGCGAGUGUCCAAAUAAUAUUCCAAACAGAAACGAAUCAGAAUAAUAUAUAAGCUCCUGACCAGUGAAAAUAGUGGAUAGUAUCUAGAAGAUUCUGCAGAACACACUAUCGAUAGUUGUAAAUGUUCUGAUUAUCAAUGGAAGCACAAUUAUAUUCCCUAUUACUUAUCGAAAGGAACAUUCGAUACAUCCAUUAUUUCAUAUAUGUAUCGAUUUAUAUUUAUAUAUAUGUUCACUUAUCCAUCUGUUUUUUCUAUAAUGCCUUACUUACGAUGUAUAUAUUAGAGGCAAACUACGAGCGCAUAUAUUUAUAUUUUUAUCUAUUAUUUCGUAAAUUAUCUGCGCUGUCUUAUUAAUUAAGAAGGAAGUAAAUAGAUGUAAGUUGAAAAAGAAAAUUGAAAGAUAAGAAAGUGAAAAUAGAUAUUUAAAUUCAAGAAAAAAAGAAGCGAACGAGUGUGUAUUAGGAAAGUGGAUCAGUUGAUAUCGAAUUCACAUUUUCAUAUAUUUGUUUAGGAUACAUCAUUUGUAAUCAAAUUAUUGAUAAACAUUUACUUCUUCGGAAUAUGAAGACAAAAUUGGCGAAAAAAAAGAAAAUAAUUAAAAGUUAAUCGAAAACUUGGAAUAAUUUAUUUUUAAUCGAGGCAACAUCGUGUCCAGACCAAACUUUAAGAAAGAAAAGAUAAUUAACAAUUAAACCGUAGUACCUGAACAUUGGCUGCAUAUUUGGAUUCGAUAAUGGGAUUCGCUAAUAAUAUUCAUUAUUUUCUUGGUAAGUUGCAUCUUAUUUAAAUUUUAUAGUAUCUAACGCGAAGAUUAAUUUUCAUAAGAUUUUGUUCUGUAUAUUGCAUGCUAUGGACAAUAGGUUAAUUUUAUAUCCUAUCUAUAAGUUAUAUUAGAGACGCUACGUUAUGCAUUAUUUUAUACAACUUCAUAUCCAAUACUACGAUAUAUUGUUUUAUAGUAGAUUAUAGAAAAUUGCGUAGUUUCUUAUUAUUUCUUCAUGCUAUAGUUAACUUAUUUUUAUUAUUAUUAGAUACUAUAUUUUACGUGUGAAUUAUCUUUUACUUGUUGCAUAAUUUUGAAUUAUUGUGUAAUAUUAAACCGAGGAGAAAGGCUAAUUAGGGGUUAUCGGAAUUAGGAUAUUUCUUUUUAGACAUUUAUACGAUCCAAUCGUAUAAUCGUAUAUAGAGCCAACUGUUGCGCAUCUGUUUGCUAUUCCGUGAUAUUAUUCCGUAUUUGCUAUUUCAAUGAUACUACCUGUUGAAGAGUCUAACAAACUAGGUGAAUUGCUUGUCUGAAACUAGUAAUUGCUUGUUUGCCGGUCAGCUAAUCAAUUAGAAUAGAGAUUCAUGAUUCCAUGAUAAGAAUACAAAGAGACGAACGUAGAGACGACGUGUCUUCCGGAGACACAUAUCCGCAACCGAACCGAUUUCCUUUACUUUUGCGAUGAGACCUAUUAGUUUUCGUUUUCAAUUAUUAUACUAUCAGUUUGCGUGAAUCUAAAGUUCAUUUCAGAAUGUUUUAAGGAGAUUCUGACAUUUUUUCUGAUAAAAAUAAAAUUUUGAAAAUGGACUCAAAUUUUUGCAUAAAUAAUUUGGACGCUGAUUAGGUAUAUUAAAAGAUUAAUUGAAUAUUUUUUAUAUUUUCGGAAGACUGAAGUAUGUUUAACAAAAAAAGAUAUUUAAGGCAUCAAAAUUUUUUCAGGAUCAAUAUUUAUUAAUGUCAAUAUGAAAAUCAUUCCAUUGUAAUAGUUCCAAUAGAACUAUUCGGAAGGAGUAAAUUAAAAAUAUUUGAAUGUUCAUAUAUGUGAUAUAUACUAUUGAUAUUAUCGUUAUUGACAUCAGUAUUCAUAUAAUGGAGCUUCUCGGAAAAAUUAGUAAGACAGAUCUAUCGAAAUAAUUAUAUCGAUCUUCGUUUAUAUCAGUAUAUGUGUACGUACUUAUUUCUAAUUUUUGUUCGUAGAUGAUUGUGAUAAUUGUUCCUUUUCACGUAGUAAUUGUUUCACACGAUCGAAUCGACGGAGGAAAUAUAGAAAUUUGCAUAAAGAGAAAUAGAAGGAAAAAGGUUUUUGAUGCGGUGUUACCACAGAUUGUUGAAAGUUGAUAUUCUAUAUGCAAGUCGAAAAGAGUCAAUUGCAGAACAGAAGGAAAUUAUUAGAGAAAAAUAAUAAUGGCUGCUAUAUACAUCCAUUCCUGGCAAACUACUGCGGCAGCGAAAGAACUUCGAUGUUUAUUCGUCGGAGUACAAAGAACUGAUCUGGUAACUCGCAAUCUAAAAGUCCAAGUCAUUCAUUUGUUGAUUUUACACGCUACCAACAACUGCCAUUUUUAAAUUUAAGUCUAAUAGAAAAUAAAUUAAAAUUGUUUGAUAUACCGUCUGUGUUCCAUAGCAUGUAAUGUUUAGCGAAAUCUACUAUUGCUUAAACAGUGAAUAGUUUAACUCGUCGUACAUUUAUAUCGUUUAAAUGAGUUUAAAAUUAUCAAAAGUAUUAAGUUUGAAGUUUUCACCUUUAAAAAGUGAGAGCGAAGCGUCAGUCAUUCCAAUGUUCGUUUUUAUUGGCAUCACACGCAGCUACGAAACUCAGAUGCAAGUAUUCCAAUAUGAAAAUCAUAAAUUAUUUACAUUUUAGCUUAAAAUUAUUUUAUGUUAUUCGCGCGUUACGAUAUUCGUAAUGUUUAAGCGAAUAUACUAUCGUUUAAAUAUUACGGUUAUGAAAAUAAUUCAAAGGGUUAAAAAGUGCAAAGGGUUAAAAAGAAAAAUAAUUGUUACAAAGUAGCCUGAAAAAAAAAGCAAACAAAUAUGUAUUCAGAAAGUAUUACAAUUUCAUAUUCUCUAUGUUUGCGGUAUAUGUAAACUGGAUUUUUGAUUUAUAUUUACUUUUCUCUUAAUUUUUCA